rnacentral:rRNA from 1 species
CACGUAGGGGGCAAGCGUUGUCCGGAUUUAUUGGGCGUAAAGAGCUCGUAGGUGGUUCGGUAAGUCGGGUGUUAAACCCCCAGGCUCAACCUGGGGACGCCACUCGAUACUGCUGUGACUAGAGUCCGGUAGGGGAGCGUGGAAUUCCUGGUGUAGCGGUGAAAUGCGCAGAUAUCAGGAGGAACACCAGCGGCGAAGGCGGCGCUCUGGGCCGGUACUGACACUGAGGAGCGAAAGUGUGGGUAGCAAACAGG